ensembl:lncRNA
AGCCACCUGUGUUAGGCCUCUGCACUCACUGACUGUCCCAUACAUCCCGUACCCCCGCAAGACGCCUACUACAACAGAGACCCUGAUAAAAUCAAAAGGUGGACCUUGUGAGCAUAAUGAGAUUCAUAAAAGCAAAGUGCAAGGUUUUGCGCUUGAGUUGAGGAAAUCCCAGAUACAUUUACAAACCAGGAGAAGAACUUGAGAGUAGCCCUGCUGAGAAGAAAGGCUUAGGGCUUUUGGAUAAUGAAAAACUGAACAUGAGCCAGCAGUGUGCUCUUGCUGCUGAGAAGGCCAGUGGUACCCUGGGCCUUCUUCCAUCAGAAGACAGGUGGCCAGCAGGGUGAAGGAGAUGAUUGUCCCCCUCUACUCUGUCCUUGUGAGGCCUCAGUUGGAGUGCUAAAUCUAAGUCUGGGGCCCCACCACAGGAAAGAUGUGGAGCUUUUGCAGAGGGUCCAGAGGAGGGCCAUGAAGACGAUCCAAGGGCUGAAGCACCUCUCCUAUGAGCAUAAGCUGAAGGAACUGGGCUUGUUCAGCCUGGGAAAGAGAAGGCUGCAGGGACACCUCAUUAAAAUUUUCCAGUAUUUAAAGGGAGUUCACAAACAGGAAGGAAAUCAACUUUUUACAAGAGUAGAUAGUGAUAGGACAAGGGAGGAUGUUUUUAAACUAAAGGAGAAGAGAUUUAGACUAGAUGGCAGGGGGAAGGUUUUUACUGAGAGAGUGGUGAGGUGCUGGAACAGUUUGCCCAGAGAGGCUGUGGAUUCUCUGUCUCUGGUGGUGUUUAAGGCCAGGCUGAAUGUGGCCCUGUGCAAUCUGAUCUAAUAUCUAAUAUUUAUUCUAACGGUUGUCAGCCCUGCUUUUGGCAGGAGGUUGGAGCUUGAUGAUCUUUGAGGCCCCUUCCAACACAAGCCAUUCUAUGAUUCUACGAUUCUAAAAAAAUUUUCACUCAAGUUCUUAUCCAGAAACAUAAUACAACCACUGGACAUAAUACAACCACAUAAACGACUCCUUACUUCAUUAUUAUUAUUAUUAUUAUUGUCUUUUCUUUAUCUCUCUGCUAUAUGGAGCAGAUAAAUGUACAGUACUUGGCAUCAUGUUUAUCACCACAAAUGAGAUCUCAUGGGUGAAUAACAACAUAUGUAAGGAUCUCAUUUUUUCCUCUUAUUCCCUAGUGUAGAGGUCACACAACAGUUUAGUUCCAUGUGACUCACUAGUUAGCUGAGUAUAAAAUCUGGCAUCCUCAGUAUGUUAUAUCAUUGAGUUUUAACUCAACAGAAGUUUUUUUUUCUUAUAUAGGUCAAAGUUAAUUCAUUCUUUGUCCUCAGUGUUGUGUCUGUAUUGCACUUUUAAAUGACUUAAGUGCAAAAAACGUUAGACUUAUUCCCCUGGAUGACACAUCUAUUCUCUGUUUAGCUAGCCACUAGAAGGAAGUAGUUCUUUUUUUUUGGUGCAAAUUGACCAGACAGCCUAUAGCUAAAUGAGUUUUUCUUCUAAUUUAACUUUUGGGGUGUACUUCUCUUAUCUUCAUCAGAUAUCUCAGACAUUAGACACCCUGUGAAAUUUUGUAACUUUUAUUAAAAGUAAAUAGCUGUAAAUAGGUACUAAGUUAAGUUUCAAUAAUGCAAAAGAAUAGUUCACUUUAAAACAUGCACAGGCUAAUGUGAAAUGGGAAAGAUGCUGCAGAAUAGAAGUUCUGUUAAAUAAUGGCUACUUUUCCUAUGAAAGCUAAUCGAUACAAAGUGAAACCAGAAUGUAAAGGUCCAACUCUAUGGGUAUUUUCCAUAUUGGUCAUAAGAACUCUUGCCAGUAGGCCUUUGAGUAAUCAUUUUGAAACCUUUUAAAACACUGAAGCACUGGUGUUGCUACAGCAUGCCACUAUGCAAUUUAGCUCUUCAGAUCUAAAUUUAAAAUAAAUAAAUAAAUAAAAAUGGGUACCUGCAGUAGCGCUCAGUAACUAGUGGAGACCAAGGCAAUGAAGAAGUCCAAAACUAAAAGGAACAACACCUUAGAUACUGUACUUGGUAAAAAAAAAAAAAAAAAAAAAAAAAAAAAACAGGUAAAGCACCCUGUUCUAAAAACUUGCAGUAUUUUACAGUAUAUUAAAACAGUGGUGGAGUUGGGCAAUGAAGCCUUUUCAGUUCUCAGAAAAUUCUUCCAAAGUUCUUUGCAAAGCAUUCUGAGAAAAUAGCACUAAGCAAUAUUUCAGAAGAGUGUUUUUGGUGGAAUAAACUUUCAUCACAUCAGAAAUGUCACAUUUCUCUUUUGUUCUUGCAGCACAAUUGAGAAAAAUAAUAAAAAGAGAGAAAAGUAGAAUGAAUCUCUGUGAUCGUACUGCAAGACAAUUCUAGGUAAAAAAAAUAAAUUGAUGAAGAACCUGUGAACUGUAUUUUGAAGACAAAAAGAACUAUUACUGCAUACUAGUGAUUGCUAGAACUGUGCAGGCAAAAAGUGCUGAAAUAUCCACCCUCAAUAUUAUUUUGAUCAAGUAAGAAAAAGGCAGAAAACUUAUAUGCUGUUUGGACAACAGCUGACAUAAAACUGUGUGAAGCAGUUCUGUUAAAUGAAAACUGCAGUUACUUAAUUUGGGAAAGAAUUUUCUGACAUUUUAACACUACAGCAGAGAUCAUGCAGGCAUGGUAUUAAUCACAUUAGAGUGGUAACUACCAGAUAGAAACAGAACUACAACGUUUCCUGUGCACUUACAAUGAGGCACUAAUGGAGUUUUAUCUGACCCUACCAACUACUCAAGCUGUGUGUGCCCUAAUACAGCUCAUAACAAAGAUCAUUUCAUGUAAUUUAUUUAAACCAUUGCCAACUUAAGAACAUUUCCUAGCUUGUUUUCUAGUCUAUGUUUAAGAGAAAGGAACCCUAUUGCUACAGAAGACCUACUGUGUAGGUAAGACUUACUUGAGAUAUCCCUACGGCAUUUAUAUUAUAUCAGCCUUAAAUGAUUACUCAAUUUUAACUAGCAGUAUCAGCCAAAACAAUUUUGUGUUGUCACUUGUAGCUGUGUAAAGGAGAAAGGAAGUUAUAAAUGCUCUGUGAAAAUGUAGUCUAGCUAAGAAUCACCUCAGUUUGAUACACUUGUGGAACAGCUAGGUAUGGACUUCAGUGAUUUUUUCAUCAAAAGCAAAAAAGGAGAGAAGAUUUUUCUUUUGCAGUGAAAUUUCCUUUGAAUUUUUGCAGUAAAUUUCUCUCUCUGAAAAAUUAAAACAACACAAUUCAGCAGUGCUUUCUGAAGGUGUUACUUUGCUAUCCCCUCAGACUUCCUCCAUUAGAAUGAUUAGCACAAAUGGAUGAGUAGUUCCUUUGUUCUUGAGGGCUCUGGUAUUGUUUCCUUUUCCUUCUAUUACCAGCAUGUUUUUUUACUUCAACACAUCUAAAUUACUUCUUCCUCCCUGUGUAAUCUAACCCAUGCCUAUUCUUUUUCCAGUCCAAUUAAUUUUGAAUAAAUCAAGUCUGUGUAAUUUUCCUUAUGGAAAAGCUUGAAUCCAUUAGAAUCUAUUAAAACUAUCUGUGAUCUCUUGUCAGGAUAUAAUACCCUCCCUCACGUAUCAAGAGAUAAGGCUAGUUAAACCACUAAUUUUUUACAGGAUAGGACUCAAUUUAUUUACCAAAGUUGAAUGUUCCCUGUUAUUUUUUUGUUUUCACAAAUGAGUUCCUUAGAUAUUUUAAGUUAAUGUUUAUUAACUUUUUUUUUUCUUUUUCCUAUCAUGACAGAAACAACUACUAAAGCUUAAAUGAGAAACUUUGUGGAAAAUUGAGAAAAUGAAUCUAAACAAAUCUUUUGAAACUUCUUCUGUCUAUAUGAAUAGGUAACAAAAUAGCAAACAUUUUCUUUUGCUAUUAGUUGUAAUAUUUUUCAGGUACUGAUCCAAAAUGAGAAGAAAGGAAAUGAUGUAAUUCAUGUUCCCAGCUUGCUGCAAAACAAGGAGGCUUUUUUCUCAUCUUUUUAAUAAUUAUUAUUUUAUUUUUCGUGACAUCACAAUACCAGCAGAAUAAAUUAGUUGCCUUUGAAUUUGGUCACUGGUGAAAAUAAAGACAUGGUAAGGGUAUUCAAUCCUGCAGCUGCAGCAGUCACUCUGAGAAGACAUCCCAAAGGCUGUUCCUCCAGCUCAACUGAAAGUUCUAUGCCUGACAGACAGAUGUGGACUCAUAGCUCAGCAUCACAUUGCCUUUGUGAUGCUGUACAACUGACAGACUGUAAAAUUUUUGUAUGUGGAACAAUAAAACAAAGAUCCUUAGUUGUUGGCUGAUAUCCUAUUAUUUAGAUAAUUUAGAGAAACAGUGUUCAAACACCAUCUUCUAGCAUCCUUAAAAUAAAGACAAUGGCAGAUAUGCAUUGUUCACACAUAGGUGAAAACAUAUAUAUAUAUAUUUUUCCUUCUGGCUGUUUCAUCCUAACUGGCAUUUAAAAUGGUUCUAACAUCUUAUGAUUUCAGUAUUGUUAGCCUAUGUUAUCGAAAACAUCCAUUGACCUUCAUAGAAAGAAGACCUGGUUUUGUGUUUGUAUUUAUUCAUCUACAAUUUUAGUUUUCCCAUCUCUUCCAGCUACAGUGAAACUCAUUGUAUCUCAGGGAAAUUCAUGAAGUAGGUCCACUAUGUUCAAACUAAGGAAGAUUUUGUUUUAAAGAAAUCACAAUUAGGAAAAGAGGUUAAUUUAAAAUUAUUUCCUUUCAGACAUCUAGGGGGAAAUUUAUUCCUGGGCAGUGCACCAGCACAAGACUUAUGCACCACUUAGCAUGAAGUUUAAGCAAUAUAUGAGACAUACAGGCAUCCUGAGAUAAGGAGAAGAAUGGAGAAUUGCAUUCUUAUGGAAUUAGUGCUUCAAUAUUAAAUCUGUUUUAAAAUGCUAUGCAAACAAUCUACAUAGAUCCUGAGUUGGACAAGACUGGCCUCCUCUGAAAGUAUGAUAAAAAAUUUUAGACACAUUUAACUUGAUUUUUACUUUACUACCUCAUUCUGGUAAUAGAAAUACUACCCAAAUUCCUGGAAACUGAUUGCUGUGAAAUAAAAUAUCUUUGUAAAACUCUAUACAUUUUGUUAUCAAUGUACAUAAUACACAGACUUAUCUGUCUGACAUUCCUAUGGAUGAAAAGGUUAAAAAGUCUUGCUUUCUGUGAAUAUAACAGCCUGUUUCUGUCAGCGAAAGUCUCAAUGAAGAAGAAACAAGUCUCAAAGACAACUACAUUCUUGGAACUCAGAGCAAUUAAGCAGAUGUGUA